rnacentral:lncRNA from 1 species
UUGCCCUGCGAAACCUCUGUAUAUGAAAAGUUGGCCCUCCAUGUACAUGGGUUUCCCAUCCUGUCACAGAAUUUUCCACACUCCUUGACAGAGGUGCUUAACCCUUAUCCAUCAGCAUUCUCAGACAGCACCUCCGGUUAGGGACAGUAUCUGACCGUCCGACAUCCCUGCAGCCCCCAUGUGUCACACAGACUCAGCCUCAGGUAGAUGGUUUCCGUAGAUGGUGGCUUUCUUUGGACCCUUGACAUCAACCAGUUACUAUUUGACUCUUCUGCAGAACCCCAUGUUGACCCCUGCUUUGAGGUGGCAGAGUUAACACUACUCUUCGUUAUAAGCUCUCGUCUGGGGCAACUCAGAAGAACGGGACCAGAUGUGCAGAGGUAAUGAAUACCAGGGAAUCAGGAAACCACUGGAUCAGUUCUUUGAGCCACAGAACAACACUCAUCCCAGCAGCUGGGAAGCUAUCUGCAAAAGUCCAUCUGCAGAAAGGGCUUCCUGGUCUUGCGUGUGGCUGGGCCAUUUCUCUGGAUGCAGGUUUUUCAUUAUACAGUCUUCUCAAAGAACCACCUGCUCUCAACACCUUCUCGGUGACUCCAUUUCCCCUCCUCU